ACUCAAAGGAAUAGACGGGGGCUCACACAAGCGGUGGAGCAUGUUGCUUAAUUCGAAGCAACGCGAAGAACCUUACCUGGGUUUGACAUGCACGGAUUAGUCGGUGGAAACACCGGUGAGGCCCGCAAGGGUACAACGUGCACAGGUGCUGCAUGGCUGUCGUCAGCUCGUGCUGUGAAGUGUUUGGUUAAGUCCAUUAACGAGCGCAACCCCUGUCGCUAGUUGCUAACGCGUCAUGGCGAGGACUCUAGCGAGACUGCCGGCGUCAAGCCGGAGGAAGGUGGGGAUGACGUCAAGUCCUCAUGGCCCUUACAUCCAGGGUUGCAAACGUGCUACAAUGGCGCGCACAAAGCGACGCGAGGCCGCGAGGCGGAGCAAAUCGCAAAAAACGCGCCCCAGUUCGGAUUGCAGGCUGCAACCCGCCUGCAUGAAGUCGGAAUCGCUAGUAAUCGGAGAUCAGCUACGCUCCGGUGAAUAUGUUCCUGAGCCUUGUACACACCGCCCGU
rnacentral:rRNA from 1 species